rnacentral:tRNA from 1 species
UUUAUAGUACGAGGAAAAUCCGUCGACUUUAUAAAUCGUGAGGGUUCAA